AUGCACAUGCUGAGGACGACGGCUACAGAUGUUUACGGCAGAGUUUCUAUGCAUCAUGUAGAUAUUAGCAACAUAAAAGUUUUAGUCAGUUUUUUUUUUUUUUUUAUGAAAAGCGGCAUCCCCUCCUCAAUACAUAAGGGUGCUCAGAUGUGCUGAUCCAAUGCUGAGAUGGAAGUCCUGAAACAUCCUGCAUGCAUAUGUCUUGUAUAAAUUAGUAAUGUCAUUUUAGAAAUGUAUGUAAAUGAGGCAUUUUUAGGCAAUGUAAAUAAAUGCUUUAUAACGUGCAUUUUCAAGAUGGUUGGUUUGUAUGUAUAAAUGCACUAUUCAUAAUUUCCUUUAAUGUGUACUUAUUGUGUGUGGGGAAGUAAAACCAAAUAAAGAAUCAGAACGCAA